UGGAUGUAUCAGUUACUUGGAUAACUGCGGUAAUUCUGGAGCUAUACAUGCACAAAGCCCCGACUCACGUAGGGGUGCUUUUAUUAGAUCAACCAAACGGCUUCCGCUGUCUUUCUGGUGAAUUCUAAUAACUUUGGGGCGAUCCCCUGGGCCUUGCCCCGGCAACUUUCCUUCCAAGGGGGGGCCUAUUCACUUGCCAAUGGGGGAUUAACCCCCCCCGUGGUUUUUAACGGUAACCGGGAAUUAGGGUUCCAUUCCCGAAAAGGAACCCUAAAAACCGCUACCCCCUCCAAGGAAAGCAGCCGGCACCCCAAUUACCCAAUGGACGGAAGGCGAAGGAAUUACGAAAAUUACGAUUACGGACUCUCCGAGGGCCGGUUAAUGGAAUGAGACCCUUAAAACCGUCCCAGGAUCAAUGGAGGGAAGUCUGU
rnacentral:rRNA from 1 species